AUUGAACGCUGGCGGCAGGCCUAACACAUGCAAGUCGAGCGGAUGAAGGGAGCUUGCUCCUGGAUUCAGCGGCGGACGGGUGAGUAAUGCCUAGGAAUCUGCCUGGUAGUGGGGGAUAACGUCCGGAAACGGGCGCUAAUACCGCAUACGUCCUGAGGGAGAAAGUGGGGGAUCUUCGGACCUCACGCUAUCAGAUGAGCCUAGGUCGGAUUAGCUAGUUGGUGGGGUAAAGGCCUACCAAGGCGACGAUCCGUAACUGGUCUGAGAGGAUGAUCAGUCACACUGGAACUGAGACACGGUCCAGACUCCUACGGGAGGCAGCAGUGGGGAAUAUUGGACAAUGGGCGAAAGCCUGAUCCAGCCAUGCCGCGUGUGUGAAGAGGGUCUUCGGAUUGUAAAGCACUUUAAGUUGGGAGGAGGGGCAGUAAGUUAAUACCUUGCUGUUUUGACGUUACCAACAGAAUAAGCACCGGCUAACUUCGU
rnacentral:rRNA from 1 species